GAUGAACGCUAGCGGCAGGCCUAAUACAUGCAAGUCGAGGGGUAUGGGUUGCUUGCAACCCAGAGACCGGCGCACGGGUGCGUAACGCGUAUGCAAUCUACCUUAAUCAGGGGGAUAGCCCGGAGAAAUCCGGAUUAACACCGCAUAACAUUGAGUUGUGGCAUCACAGUUCAAUCAAAUAUUUAUAGGAUUAAGAUGAGCAUGCGUGACAUUAGUUAGUUGGUGAGGUAACGGCUCACCAAGACCACGAUGUCUAGGGGAUCUGAAAGGAUGACCCCCCACACUGGUACUGAGACACGGACCAGACUCCUACGGGAGGCAGCAGUAAGGAAUAUUGGUCAAUGGGCGCAAGCCUGAACCAGCCAUGCCGCGUGCAGGAAGACGGCCCUAUGGGUUGUAAACUGCUUUUGUACCGGAAUAAACCUUCUCUUGCGAGAGAAGCUGAACGUACGGUAAGAAUAAGGAUCGGCUAACUCCGUG
rnacentral:rRNA from 1 species